rnacentral:rRNA from 1 species
AAAGGUGGGGAUGGCGUCAAGUCCUCAUGGCCCUUAUGGUAGGGCUUCACACGUCAUACAAUGGUCGGUACAGAGGGUUGCCAACCCGCGAGGGGGAGCUAAUCCCACAAAGCCGAUCGUAGUCCGGAUCGCAGUCUGCAACUCGACUGCGUGAAGUCGGAAUCGCUAGUAAUCGUGGAUCAGCAUGUCACGGUGAAUACGUUCCCGGGUCUU